rnacentral:ncRNA from 1 species
AAAUCCGAAGAGUGGCUUAGGCCCGCCGAAGGAGCAAGCCGAGUUAUCUGGGAGUAACAAGGUGAAUCUCUCAGGCUCCAAGACGGAUGGGGAA